rnacentral:lncRNA from 1 species
GGGCAAUACUACUUUCACUUUUCUCUGAAUACAAUUGAUUUAUGGCCAGCACUUCCUGCUCUAGAUAAACUGUCUCUGUUUCAGCUACACGUGACUUCAAACAGGUGGCACAUGAGCCCUGGUUGUGGGAUAGACCCGUGCUUUCAGAUCAGCUGCUGGAUUGCAUGCAGGUCACUUGAGCUCGUGAGAACACAACCUCUUCUCAGGACAUAUCAUGACAUGGUGACAAAGGCCAGUUCUUAGGGAACACAAGGAUCUACGUUCCAGCCAAGACAGAGCCUCUUCUGCAGUGCUUGUCACCACUUCUGUCUCUCCCAGAUACUUACCACCCAUCAGAUCUGUCAACUCAGCUGCUUAAAUGUCUGACCUGCUUCAGUUAAAACAAGUGGCUGAAAAAGACCAGAGAGAGCUUUAGCAACGCAUCAGCUUUUUCAUGGUAGUGAUAAAAUACUGUUUGCUGGAUUAAUAAUUAUUGUGAGCAUAUUCUUACUCAUACGCAUUUUUAUUGCCUAUCUCUUUUUGGUAGUAAUUGAAGGAAAUUUAUGUUUUGUCUCAGUAAACAAGCAAGUCUCUUCAUUUGUCAGUCUGACUUUGCUAGUCAGUUUCCUUUGUGACUGUUCAUUCGAAAAAAGAUUUAGCUUGAAGUAGUUACUGAAAU